rnacentral:snRNA from 1 species
AUGGGUUAGUCGAUCCUAAGAGU